UACGUAGGGGGCUAGCGUUGUCCGGAAUCAUUGGGCGUAAAGAGCGUGUAGGCGGCCCGGUAAGUCCGCUGUGAAAGUCGGGGGCUCAACCCUCGGAUGCCGGUGGAUACUGUCGGGCUAGAGUACGGAAGAGGCGAGUGGAAUUCCUGGUGUAGCGGUGAAAUGCGCAGAUAUCAGGAGGAACACCUAUUGCGAAGGCAGCUCGCUGGGACGUUACUGACGCUGAGACGCGAAAGCGUGGGGAGCAAACAGG
rnacentral:rRNA from 1 species